AAGGCAUUUGGCAUCAGCUGACAGGCUGCCCAAACUGCACCAGGGGCCAUGCCCACCCUGAGAUCCCCUGCAAUUUCCCAGUCUCUGAGCACAUCUGGAGGGGCAGCUCCUUGGAGGAGGGAGGGCCCUGGAGCGGCCCCAAUAACCUGGUCUUUCUCCUGAAUCUUGUCCAUUACUGAGACAAGCAUUGCCUCCUGAAGAUGCCACAUUCCCAUUGGGGAAGAGCCUCACCUGAUGCAGCAUUGCCUUCUUCUUUCUGCAGAGAUGGAAGGAAAGCCUGUGCUGAAGGCAGCAUUUCCCAGAGGAAGCAGUGGCUCUAUGGCAGCCUCUGCUGCAGGAAGGGAGGCGAUGCCAGGCACAGGCCCCGGAGAUGAACCUGAUGAUGAUCCUGAUGAUGAAGAUGAGCCUGUUGACGAAGAUGAUCCUGUUGACGAAGACUAUCCUGUGAAUGGAGAUGAUCUGGAUUCCCAACGCGUACCCAUUACUGAGGCUCUGGGAGAUGCUGAGGGUGUGUCUGCAGGGAGGACUUUGGUGGAUGUUGCACGCAGGCCCAGCUCCCAUGGCAGGGGUGAGUAGCGUGUGCCUGCUGACCCCACAGGCUGAGCCCUCGUUUUGUGGGAUCCAUUCCUGGGAAAUGGAAAUAUUUCUCUUAAGGUCCUCCAAGAAGGAAGAAGAAACCUAUAGGAGCUAGUACAUCCCUGGAGGAAUCCAAACAUCUGGAAAAACUCCUGAGUGGUGUGGACAGCCAGCGUGAUGCAGCCAGCACCUCAACACAUUCUGACAUCAUCUGGAAAAGCAUGAGAAGAGUUUUCUGCUGGGGAACACCUUGUUUGAUUAAGUUGAUGGCCAUUGUGGCUGGUGCGGCACUGUGCCUGAUGAUGUGCUGUGCAGGAAUCUGGUAUUGCUGGACGAGAAAAUGGUGCUCCUGUGCAUCUUCAGAAGAUGAUCCUAAAAAUAGAGACAACGACAACUUGACAAUUUAUCCCAGCUAUCCACUUCUGCCCCCAUCUGCCCUGCCGUGGCUGCACCACCAUAAUGAAGGCAUCCCCAAAUCCACCCCUCCUCAACGAGACCCUCUGCCCCCGAGCCCCCUGGUCCUGUUCC